AUGGUUAGUUCACAAGUAGUUGUAUCAAUAGUAUGUAAUUCAGAAUUAAUAGAGUUUACCUCACUGUUAGUGUCCGUAUCUGAAUCCGUUGUAUCAAUUGAGCCAUCGAGACCAACAAGAGCCAAAUUCACCAUCUCAUCACUAGAAUCAUCAGAAGCUGAUUCAUCUUCAUCAUCACUCCAAGUUAGAAGUGCCUUGGAUUUCUUUUUAUUCUUGUAAUCAGCUUGCUGUCUAGGCGGCUUUGACUUGUUUUUCAGCUUGUAGCAAUCCCUUUUGAAAUGCCCUUUCUUGCCACAUUCAAAACAUGCAUCAUCC
rnacentral:lncRNA from 1 species